AUGUGUCUCCGCUUGUUCUGCCCAGCCCUGAAUUUUCUGUUUCUCUGCUUGUUCCUUCCAGCCAUGAAUUUUCAGUUUCUCCGCUUGUUCCGUCCGGCCCUGAAUUUUCAGUUUCUCUGCUGGUUCCGUCCAGCCCUGAAUUUUCAGUUUCUCCGCUGGUUCUGUCCAGCCCUGAAUUUUCUGUUUCUCCGCUGGUUCCGUCCAGCCCUGAAUCUCCUGUGUCUCCGCUGGUUCCGUCCAGCCCUGAAUCUCCUGUGUCUUUGCUGGUUCCGUCCGGCCCUGAAUCUCCUGUGUCUCCGCUGGUUCCGUCCAGCCCUGAAUCUCCUGUGUCUCCGCUGGUUCAGUCCAGCCCUGAAUCUCCUGUGUCUCCGCUGGUUCCGUCCGGCCCUGAAUCUCCUGUGUCUUUGCUGGUUCCGUCCGGCCCUGAAUCUCCUGUGUCUCCACUGGUUCCGUCCGGCCCUGAAUCUCCUGUGUCUCCGCUGGUUCCGUCCGGCCCUGAAUCUCCUGUGUCUUUGCUGGUUCCGUCCGGCCCUGAAUCUCCUGUGUCUCCGCUGGUUCCGUCCGGCCCUGAAUCUCCUGUGUCUCCGCUGGUUCCGUCCGGCCCUGAAUCUCCUGUGUCUUUGCUGGUUCCGUCCGGCCCUGAAUCUCCUGUGUCUCCGCUGGUUCCGUCCAGCACAUAAUUUCAUGUGUCUCCGCUGGUUCCGCCCAGCCUUGAAUCUCCAUUUUCACUGCUGGUUCCGUUCAGCCAUGAAUCUCCUGUAUUCCCUCCCAGCCUCCCUCUCCCGCCUCCUCCUAGACCUGCCAGUUCCUCUGCUCCACUUCCGCUGGUUCAGUCCAGCCCCUUAUCUCCUGUUUCUCCUGAGCCCUGGACUCCUCCUCUGUUCCUCGUCCCUCCGGCUCCACCUUGGUCAGGCGUCAACCAUCCGCCGCCUCGGGAACCCAUUCCUCUGGCUUCGCCUCAUCACUCCAUCCCUCCGGCUCUGUCAGGCUCCUCCUUCCCUCUGGUUCCGCCUCCAUCCGCAGUCACUCCGGCCCUGCAGUGGUCUUCCAGGGCCCCGCCUCCACCUUGGUCGCCUGAGCCUUCUGCUCCGCCUUGGCCCUCCGGAUCCUCGGCUUCACCCUGGCUUUGCUGCUGCUCUGCUCCAUCAUGGGCUCCUCACCCACCAGCGCAGUCUCCAUCUGUCCGCCCCCUGGUUUCAUUGGCUCCUCCUCCACCAUGGCUCCUCACGCUGUCGACUCCACCAUGGAUCUUCAUCCUAG
rnacentral:lncRNA from 1 species